rnacentral:rRNA from 1 species
GAUGAACGCUGGCGGCGUGCCUAAUACAUGCAAGUCGAGCGAACGGACGAGAAGCUUGCUUCUCUGAUGUUAGCGGCGGACGGGUGAGUAACACGUGGAUAACCUACCUAUAAGACUGGGAUAACUUCGGGAAACCGGGGCUAAUACCGGAUAAUAUUUUGAACCGCAUGGUUCAAAAGUGAAAGACGGUCUUGCUGUCACUUAUAGAUGGAUCCGCGCUGCAUUAGCUAGUUGGUAAGGUAACUGCUUACCAAGGCAACGAUGCAUAGCCGACCUGAGAGGGUGAUCGGCCACACUGGAACUGAGACACGGUCCAGACUCCUACGGGAGGCAGCAGUAGGGAAUCUUCCGCAAUGGGCGAAAGCCUGACGGAGCAACGCCGCGUGAGUGAUGAAGGUCUUCGGAUCGUAAAACUCUGUUAUUAGGGAAGAACAUAUGUGUAAGUAACUGUGCACAUCUUGACGGUACCUAAUCAGAAAGCCACGGCUAACUACGUG